rnacentral:rRNA from 1 species
UACGUAGGGUGCGAGCGUUUAAUCGGAAUUACUGGGCGUAAAGCGUGCGCAGGCGGUUCGUUGUGUCGGCGGUGAAAUCCCCGGGCUCAACCUGGGAACUGCAUUUGUGACUGUAGAGCUGGAGUACGGUAGGAGGGGGAUGGAAUUCCGCGUGUAGCAGUGAAAUGCGUAGAUAUGCGGAGGAACACCGAUGGCGAAGGCAAUCCCCUGGACCUGUACUGACGCUCAUGCACGAAAGCGUGGGGAGCAAACAGG